CACCUGCUUCUUCCCAACGCACCUUCAUUUUCACUAUUGGUCAUGGGAGUUCGGUCCUCAUUCCAUGUGUGUUUUCCGCCAGGCCUUGGUUUUGGUGAUUCCGGUAUUAAAUUUUUAUUUGUUUGUUUGUUUGUUUGUUUGUUUGUUUUUAGUGUUGAAGCAGACACCUCUUGGAGUACGUGGCCUGUUCCAGAGACGUGCUGUUUCGUCACGAACCUCCAAUUUGAUGCUCAUCAGCCAGGGAAGAAUUGGAUGUUUCAAAUAAGAUGAAAGGGAAGACAACAUCGACCUCGGAUGUUCCCAGUCAUUAAGAGGGGAGGAAGAGAAGUUUAGGUUUCCCAAUUUGGAUGCCUUCUCAAAACAACAGAAAGGAUUAGAAAUUCUCAGGGGGCGCCUGGGUGACUCAGUCGGUUAAGCGUCUGACUCUUAAUUGUGGCUCAGCUCGUGAUCUCGCGGUUGUGGGACCAAGCCCCGUGUCGGACUCUGCACGGAGUGUGGAGCCUGCUUGGGAUUUUCUCUCUCUCCCUCUCUC